rnacentral:lncRNA from 1 species
GGGGGAGAGCUGCUGACGUUUGCGCCGCGCACGACUAAGUCCGCCAUAUUAGUAUCUGACGCAGGCGCCAUUACAGAAGUCUCUCUAGAGAUCCCUGUCAGCUUCUGUUGUCGGCCCCCCAACAGUUUUGAGGGGCUUUAGGAGAUUUGCUGUCGCGUCUGAAUGUCUGAGAUGAAAUUCCAUGAGGAACGAGGGCAAAAAAAAAAAAAAAACGCAACAUGGUGCUUGUACUAGAGCUCCUAGUGUUUGCUAGUGGCGCCGACUUGAGUUUAGUCAGGGAGAUGCAAACGGGAAGGAACUAGAGCCCGGGUUCCUCCUGUGCUGUGACCACGAUUAACGUUUCUAUCCCGGCUCUCUCCCCGCCUCCGAUAUUCGGAUAAUUUUUUUAGCAACAGGCUGGAGGUCCUGCGCUCAAAAGCCUAGUGCAUUCUGGGCUCCUAGGAGCCGAGCAGGUCAUGAGACUGUCCCCGCAGUAGCUGGUCAGCUCUGACUUUCGCGAACUGCCCACAAGGAGCCAAACGUGGCUUCGGCGUCUGGGCGCUCCCACAGAGCUCAGGAGGCUCCCGUGGAGGAAUGGAGAAGUUACGUGGCAGCCCCCACUACAGUGACCCACUGUAAACAUGCUUUGGUCAGGCUGUGGUCCCAAGCAGGCUCAAGCCGCGCCCGAGCGGGAAGGAGCCCCACUGAUUGCCUGGACCAGGGACCCAGGCCAGGC